UACAGCCAUAACACGUUGAAGCACCGGUUCUCGUAUGAUCACUGACGAUAAGCAACUUCGAGCUUGUUCAGUGCCUAGAUGAGUAACCGCUUAGGAAUACCAUGUGCUGCAA